rnacentral:lncRNA from 1 species
ACCCAAUAUCUUAUUUGCCGUUUAUUUAGCCCCAUUCACAAGUCGAUAAACAAGGAGACCGCGGGUGACAGGACAGAGUACUUUGUUUCUUAAAACAACAAUUCUUUGUUUGUAGAAAUAGACAACUAAUACUCUAGAAAAUCAUGGAUUGAUGGUGUUUGGGGAUCAUGAAAAUGGAAGAGAAAGUGAAAGAAAAAAGAAUAGAGAAAAUCAUUAUUAGAAGUAACGGAAACGUAUGAUACACUAUAAAGGUUCUAAGCUCAAAUGAGCUACUUAUAGAAUAAAUCAGAACACUCUAGACCAAUAACUAAUAUUAGCUAAAAACAUCCGGUGCCAGCUCAGCAAUCUGUUAAGAGUGCACUUGCGAGAAUGGCAUACAGUUACACAGCAACAGCCUUGCAUUGUAACAACCUUCGAACAGUCUUGAAUCCAAAUACUCUGCUACACUUGAGUGCAGCUGAUAAACUGUGCCCCUUCCUUAGCCGUAAUAUGAUCCCUGUGAUGAACCUAAUACUCCAACAUAUACAACUUUAUUAAAAGUGACAAACAAGAUGAAAUCAAGUGAAGUUAAAGCAUAAAAGACAUAAUCAGAUAAGUGAAUCCCUUCAUGCUCUGUUCGAAAUAGAGUUUAAAACAAUUGACAAUUGUUGGGAAUUUUUGGUUCCCACCCAAGAUCUCCGCUAGCAAUACGUCAAAUAAAUAACAAAUAAAAAAAUACAAUAGAGAAUACUCCAAUCACACAACACAAGAGUUACCUGAAAAACUCUAUUACCAAAAAAUUGAUACAACCUCUCUCUCAAAUUAUUUUAUCUCACAUCCAAACCCCAAGUAUACCCAAAGCUUCCCACACAAUCACUGCACCCUCUUUUCACUAACUCUCUAGUUAUUCAAUUCCAUCUCUCUUUUGGCACUUUAAUGAGUUUCCGAUUUACAGAUCUUGCAGCUUUUCUCAUUGUCAAUGAAAAUGGUCCAAAAUCCGGAUGAACAAAUCUAGCAGCCACCACACCAGCUUGAUAAUUUGGGCAAAGCGUGUUGACAUUUUACCAUACCUUUGAUGAAGCAUUCAUUGUGUAUGCAUGGAAGUCUUUGCAUGGAUUAGCACUCAUCCAUUCAUUCAAUGCAAGAGAAAUCUAAGAGAUAAUGCCAGCAAUUAAUGCUCAAAUGAAGCUAAUUAAAUUUCCAGCAGAACGCACAGAAAUUUUUAGUUUUCUUUCUCAAAUUUUUUCUGCAAAUGAAUAUUAAACUAUUCAAGUCACUGCAUCCGACAGCAAUUGACAGAACUUGUAUUACUGAAUUUAGAGACACAUUACAACCAUGGCUUGAAAACAUAAUUUUAAGCAAUAGUACAUGAUCAUUUUGAACAUUACAAAUGGAUAUAUAAUUAAUUAAGUGUAAGAUCCAUGCACUUCAAGUAAUAAUCUAGUCACAUUUGACAGAAAGCAUUUAGCAAUCCACAAACACUAAUACGUACCUAGCUGCAUAAUCAGUAGCCAUCUUCAAACUAAGACCAAACCCAAAACUAGAUAUCCUACUCCAUAUUUGCUUCAAUAGCUCGUAUUAACCACUUAACUAUGCCAAACAGAAACCUAUCUAACACUUCAUCACUCAAACUAAACCCAAAAAUUACUACACACUUUGAAAUAGACAAGCCCUAUUAAAAAUACAGAAAGCACGGAUAAUGCUAUCAUAGCCCAUGAUUAGCUCGGCAUCUAUCUGUCAAGUAAUUUAGUAUGCUUUGUACCUAUUAAUUAUAUUCCGCAAAGCACAGAUGUUUAUUUGAGAACUUUCCCUCCUUUCAACCUACUAGGCCAAAAGCCUUCUACACAGAUUCCAGCAAACAAUCAUUAUACAGCACC